rnacentral:rRNA from 1 species
AACGAACGCUGGCGGCGUGCCUAACACAUGCAAGUCGAGCGCGAAAGUUCCUUCGGGAAUGAGUAAAGCGGCGGACGGGUGAGUAAUACGUGGGUAAUCUGCCCCCGAGCUCGGGAUAACACUGCGAAAGCGGUGCUAAUACCGGAUAAGACCACAUGACCCAGGUCGUGCGGUAAAAGGUGGCUUUAUUUUCGGAUGAGGCUAACACUUGAGGAUGAGCCCAUGGCCUAUCAGCUUGUUGGUGAGGUAAAAGCUCACCAAGGCUAUGAAGGGUAGCUGGUCUAAGAGGACGACCAGCCACACUGGGACUGAGACACGGCCCAGACUCCUACGGGAGGCAGCAGUGGGGAAUAUUGGGCAAUGGGCGAAAGCCUGACCCAGCGACGCCGUGUGGGCGAUGAAGGCCUUCGGGUUGUAAAGCCCUGUGAGGUGGAAAGAAGGGCCCAGAGGUUAAUACCCUUUGGGCUUUGACGGUACCACCAGAGGAAGCACCGGCUAACUCCGUGCCAGCCGCCGCAGUAACAC